rnacentral:rRNA from 1 species
AACGAACGCUGGCGGCAGGCCUAACACAUGCAAGUCGAGCGCCCAGCAAUGGGAGCGGCGGACGGGUGAGUAACGCGUGGGAAUUUUUCCUGGAGUACGGAACAACCGAGGGAAACUUCGGCUAAUACCGUAUGAUGCCGAGAGGCCAAAGAUUUAUCGCUCUGGGGUGAGCCCGCGUCAGAUUAGGUAGUUGGUGGGGUAAAGGCCUACCAAGCCUGCGAUCUGUAGCUGGUCNGAGAGGACGAUCAGCCACACUGGGACUGAGACACGGCCCAGACCCCUACGGGAGGCAGCAGGUGGGGAAUCUUGCGCAAUGGGCGAAAGCCUGACGCAGCCAUGCCGCGUGAGUGAAGAAGGUCUUAGGAUUAGUAAAGCUUCUUUCGCUCGUGACGAUGAUGAACGGUAACGAGAGAAGAACGCCCCGGCUAACUUCGU